rnacentral:lncRNA from 1 species
AACUUACAUGCACACAUAAUGAAUCAUAAAACUAUAAAGGAUGUGUGAGUGAUAACAGAUUUACACAAAAAUCCUAUAUUACCCACGCUAGCACCAAGAACCUACCAAGACCAAACAAGGUGAUAAAGAAGGACACCACCAAAAAAAGGUGUGAAUAGAAGAAUUUCUGAAUACAUGAAUGAACUUGAUAAAGAAUGUGCUUGUGGAAUGGCAGGGGAAGAAAGCUUGAAUGUAUAUUUUGGAAGUUAGGGAACAUAUUCAUUUUCGAGGACUGGCUGAGUUCGAGUCACCAUUGCUGCUGGUGCUUUUGUAUCCCCAACCGGUGUCAUGCGCAGAGCUUCUCCCACAUCUGCAGCCUUUUCCAUCUGUUGCAUUUUCUUUCUGUGCUUGUAUUUCUGCAGCCAUAGUACUAGUAAUGACAACAACACCAACAAUGCUAAUCCACCCGCAACAGACCCAACAAUUAUCCAGACCUUUGAAUUACUCUUCUUUCCUUUACUCGGUGGUGGUGGUGGGAAACCUGGUGGUGGUCUUGGGGCAAUGGAUUCAACUACUAUAGAGAAAUGCCCCUGUUGGACAGUUAAACAUGUGUUGCCUGAUACUACAUUGCUGAAGUUUACCAAACCAUGUAAAUCAAACCAAACACACUUGGGAACAGACCCAUCAGGAGCCGGCAUCACAUCUUGGAAUACAAUCGAUAUGGGGUUACCAGAUGCCCUAAUAUCCAAUUCUGGCAAAUUCUUAGCUGAUAAAUCUGAAGCAUCAUAUGCAAGAAGACCAAGAACAGGAGCCAAGUAAGUGUAUGAGGGUAAUGGAUAAUAUGUACCAGACCAAUUGCCCAAAUUCUGGUACACUAAAACAAGCCUUUCGACAUAGGGGCUCUCAAUAACCCCUAUAGGAAUACGAAACUCUUUGUACAUAUUCACGCCUCUUGUUCUUAAGCUGCCACUCCUAAGCCUCAUUGCUGCAAUCUUAAUCCCAGUCAAAUUUGAAGGAACAACCCCUUCAAAGGGAAUACCGGUCCUGGGACGAACAAAAGCCCUAUAAGCAUAGUCUUGGAGAAGGGCAUCAAGAGCAGGAGCAGAGCCAGAUUGAGCCACAACAUCCAGUGAAAGAAAGGAAAACCAUGUCAUAGAAAUAAGCAUCGCGAGACUUCGAAGAAGCCCCAUCGAUGCUUUUCAAUCCUCCAACUUGCCAAUCAAAUUAACCUUGUAACACUCCAGUGAAAUAUUCAAUACCCACGAAGACUAUAUUAACAAAAUUCCAACACCAACUUAAAUACCUAAGAUCCAAAUCAAACAAUAACAGAAAUGCAGACGGAUAAAUGCGGCAAAUCCCUUGAAAGAAGCUUCAAGCUCAAAACUUGGGCAUUACCAAAUCAAUAAGUUGGUGUCACGUUGCCAGUGACAACGGUUACUGCAUUAAAAAAUAUAUAUAUAUGCCCUCACACUCUCAAAGGAUUAUAUAAAGCAGCUUUGAAGGUUUCAGCCGUUGUAGCCCUCUUUCUCUUUUGGAAUCUACCGUACAUCCGCCUUGGCUGUACAGCAGUUGUAUUAAGUAUAAAAGUGAUUUUCAAAAUGGGAUUCUGAAAAAUUACUCCUUCCUUACUUUUUAAAAAUUAGUGUAAGCAAGUGUGAUUUUACCAAAAUAAUUUUAAAAAAUUUUUUACCAAACACUAAAAUUAAUUUUUAAUUUUUUACAAUCACUUUAAGUCUUCAAAGAUAAACCCUAAUUUGCCCUUAAGUUGGGCACCAUAUUUCAUUUUGGUUCAUGAUUUGAUUUGAUUUCAUAAUUCGCUAGCUAGAUCAUCUAAAGAACAUGGUCCCCAACCAUAUAGAAUCUCAAAAUUGGACUCAUCUGCCCUAUUUUUAUUAGUUGGCUUAAAAGCAUUUCCUAGAAUUAAGAGGGAAAAAACAAGCAACAUGACAGGUGUCUCAAUAAUUUUUUUCCUUUUUCCAAAUGGUUUCACCAACCGAUUUUUUUAUAAUCGUGCAGCGCAUUGAUUUCCUGAAACUGAGACCCCAAUCUUUGAAUAAUCUUGUUUGUGCACUUCAGGGUCCAUUGAUAUUUUAUUAAUGUUAUUGUUGGCUUUUUUCAGCAUAGUCUUUUGUUUAAUCAAUUAAAGAUAACUACAGGUUUGAUAAAAGCUGCCUUUUAUUUUAUUUUUUUCUUUUUUAUACAUGUAUUCUCUCCCUUUAAUAAUAUAUGAUUCAAUGUGAUGGCCCUAGCAACCACAGCACUUCAAUUAAGCAGAGGAAAAGAAAUGUUCCCAUUUAGAUGCCCGUAGCUUAAGUCAUCGUAGAAGAAAUGAUUCCCUUGUCCUUACCCUUGUUAGAAAAUCAAACAUGACCUAGAAAGAAAAGGAAAAGGUAAUGACUUUAAUCUGGCCGUAGCUUAAAUCAAACAUCUCCUCAAAAAAAAAAAAAAUCUGGCCAUAGCUUUGGACUUAGUGGUAGGUCAAAUUAUUGUGUACAGUAAACAAACAAACAUACAUGUGUAAACUAUAUGUUUCCUGUCAAAUUAACAUUAAGUUACAGGGCGACUGAAUCAGCAUGAGUCCCUUUCAUGAAGAGGCAUCCAACAGUAGCAGAAAGAGCUUCACAUGCCAAACAGGCAAGCAAAGAAAAAUCAUUCUAGAAAAAUGGGCACCAUAAAAUUUUUUAUUACUUGUCUGUCAAUGGGACAACUAAAUUCAUCACAUAGAAUCGCUUUGAACUUACAUGCACACAUAAUGAAUCAUAAAACUAUAAAGGAUGUGUGAGUGAUAACAGAUUUACACAAAAAUCCUAUAUUACCCACGCUAGCACCAAGAACCUACCAAGACCAAACAAGGUGAUAAAGAAGGACACCACCAAAAAAAGGUGUGAAUAGAAGAAUUUCUGAAUACAUGAAUGAACUUGAUAAAGAAUGUGCUUGUGGAAUGGCAGGGGAAGAAAGCUUGAAUGUAUAUUUUGGAAGUUAGGGAACAUAUUCAUUUUCGAGGACUGGCUGAGUUCGAGUCACCAUUGCUGCUGGUGCUUU